CUACGAGCAAAAGGAGCGAAGACUUUUUUCCCCCCCAGCACGUUUGACACUUGCUGGGGCUGCAGAAAGGAGAGAGGACGUGCCCUGGGCGAGUGAGGAGUGGAAGAUCAACCAGGCCAACCGACUGGCCUAGAGGUGAGGCGCGAGCUCGGCGAUUUCGCGACAGUGCUGUUGUGCCUCCGCGACUGGUCUGAAGCCAGAACCCUGCGCGGAAACCGGCAGCCUCCAGGGCUGGAAGCUCGAGUCCCUAAACAGUGAGCAUGGGCCCAAAAGGCAGCUUGAAGCGAGGUCUUGGGGGCGGCAGACAGCCAUAGCUGUUUUGAAAUGAUUGACUCAAGUUGGCACCAGCCCCUCGUUUGAUGUAUCCUGAGGCUGCACUGAGCAUCUUUGUCCAAAUCCUAAGGAAUUGAAACAUAGUUCUUGCUCUCAGGAAGCACCCAGUUAAGUUAUGGAGGCUGGAAAGUCCAAGAUUGGACAACUGCAUCUGGUUGGCUUCUGGCAAAGGUCUCAUGCUGUAUCAUAAUAUGGUAGAAGGCAUCAAAGGCCAUGAUCUCACUGUGUCACCCAGGCUGGGAUGUAAUGGCUUGAUCAUAGCAUACUGCAACCUCAAACUCCUGGGCUCAAGUGAUCCUCCUGCCUCAGCCUCCCAAGUUGGUGGGACUACAGGCAUGCCCUACCACACCCAGGGGAAAUUGUGCACAGAGGAAAACACACAUAGAGGAAUGACAGUGUGAAGACAUAGGGAGAAUACUAUCUGCAUGCCACAGAAAGCCUGAAGCUAUCAGAAGGUAAGAAAAAGGAAUGGAACAGAUUCCCCUUACAGCUCUCAGAAGGAACCAAUCCUAUAGACACUUUGAUUUUAGACUUCUAGGCUCCAGAACUGUGAAACAAUAAAUUUCUGUUGUUUAGGGCACUGAGUUUGUAGUAUAUUUUUAUGGCAGCCUCAGGACAGUAAUACACCAAGGAUCAGUAGAUGCCUCCUAGAACAGCUGGCAUCAGACUCACUUUCCUUCAUUUGUGGUCUCUGUAGAUUUCUUUUACUUCCUUACUCAUACUACUCUACAUUCCAAAAUAUGUUUUAAAAAAUAUUUUAUCCAGCAAUUUAUUUGUCUUCUUUUGGGAAUAUUUUUAAAGGAUAUUUAGUCUUCAUUUUGCUGGAAAUGGAAGUCUGCUUGAUUCUUCAAGGAUGGCUUUCUGAAAAUGGAGUUUGGUUUUUCUCAGGUACUUGUCAUUACUUUCCAAGUCAAAUUUAUUAUUUCUUUUGUGCGUUAAUUGUGCCUAAUAUUCUCUUGUAGUCUGUACAUGGCAUUUUAUUUCUCACAAAAUUUCUAGCUCUUUGAGGGUUGGGAUGGUGUCUUAUUCACCUUUCUAUACUGAGUAUACAGAACAAUGCCUCACAUAUAAUAGGCACUUAAUAAAUGCAUUUAUUAAAUACAUUCAGUAUUUAAACUGAAUGUGUUUGUAUACUGAUCAGAUGCAUAGGUAUGUUAAAGUUGCUUGGAGUGAUAGCUUUAAGUCUUAAUUUAAAAUUUAUAUUUUUAAUUUGCAAAUGCCUUUGUUACUGAAGGUUAUGGUCAUCUACUAGUGAUUCUUUUUUCUUUCUGACUAAUAUGAUUAAAUGUGAUUAAAUCUAAGCCUCAGGUAACCUCUUGGUUUUAGCCCUUUCAAGUUUCCUAUAUUAGAGUUUGAAGUUACUUAUUAAUAAAUAUUAUUUAUAAUUAUUAAAACCCUAUAAAUAUUGUGACAUUCAUUUUAUGAAUGAGGAAAGUAAAGGUAAGAAAGGUUAAGGUGGCUGUUCCAAGGUGAGAUGCAUAGUAAGUACCAGAGUCAGAAAUAAAUUUUAUUUGACUCAACAGCUAUUCACUGUCCUAUACUGACUACUUAUUAUGGAUCCCAUUUUGUAAUAAAAUUCCUUUGUAUAAAAUUCCUUGAUAUUUUUCUAUUCCUAUUUGAUUCAGAGUAUCAUAUUCACUUAUUCAAAAUAAUGAAUAAUAUCUUUCAAAAUACUUGUUUAUGUAUGCUUUUUAUAAUAUAUUUUCUGUCCAUGCAGUCACUUUCCAUUGUUCACUUGUUAGAUAUAAACAUCCUCAGAGGUUAUAUGCUAGUAAAACAAAUAGGUAGCUUUUCCUUUUUCUUUUCAGGAAAGUUUUCCAAUGUAGGAUAUUUAAAUCCAUGCUAUUAGUCUUUUAAUAAGAUUUUUCCCUAAUAAGGGUGUUUUUUGGUGCAAUCUAUACCACACACUACCACGCACUUGCUUAUACCUUGCUUACUUUCCAGUUGCUGUAGUAUGUCAUAUGUACACUUUAUUUACCCAAAUAGUUUUUAAGUUCCUGAGGUCAAGAAUGCAUUUUCUGGUACUUUGUAUUCCCAUAAUAAUAGCUGCCAUUUAUUAAAGACUUACUACCAGGAACUUUGCAUACAUUUCAUGUAUUUACAAUAACAUGGCAAAUUAGUUAUUAUUACCCCCAUUCUACAGAUGUGGAAAGCCUCAGAUAUAAUUAGUGCCAAGAUUGUAAACCUAUUAAGUGACCAUAAUGAUGGGUGCUUAAUACAUGAUUGUUGAGUUGACUGAUUUGUGGUAAUUUUCCUGAAAGAUCUUUUCAUCUGGCCACAGUGCAGUAGAAAAGACACCCAGUUUGUAUCCUUAUGCUAUAAAUUAUCAGCCUAUGACCAUGGACAAGUUAUUCAACAUCAUCAAAUCUGAGUUUUCUGAUUUGUAAAAUGAGAUAAUAAAGUCCAAUCCAUGAAGGGGUUAUGAAUAUUAAACUAGGCAAUACAGAUACAAAAUAAAUAUUGAUUUAUUAACUUGCUUGACUUUGUGUUUCUUUUCUCUCAC